CAGCUGCCGCAGCCGCAGCCCAUGCGGGGCUCCCUGCUCCCCAUCGCCUCGCUCCCGGUCUCUCCCCCAGGGGCGCAAGUUUAAGGAUCUUCCAAGCACCCGUUUCUACCUGCAGGUGGCUUGAGAGCUGGAGAAACCAAAGGGUGACAUGAGAGGCAGCAGCGAGAGGCAAGUAGGAAAUACUGAACUUUGGGCCGGAAAGGGCUGAAUCCAAUCCCCAGUCUACAUCUGCUAGCUGUGUGGCCCUGGGCAAAUGGCUUAAUGCGUCUGAGCCUGUUUCUUCACCUGUGAGAUGGCUGUCGAAGUACCUGUCCUGCUGAGUUGCUGUGACAGGAGAGGGAAUGUGUGGGGAAUGUUUGGCACAUGGUAAUUCUCAGUAAACAGCCCCUAGAACAACAGCUGGAGUCAAUGCUGCAGAGGUAACAGUUGCCAGAUAAGAGCCAGCGGACCUGUUAGAUACGAGUUCCUAUAAACAAUGAGUGAUUCCCUUUUCUAAGUGUUAAGUAAGUCCCAAAUACUGCACGAGUACAUCCAAACAAAGGGAUAUCUGGCCAUAGAACGGAAGGAAGCGAUGUAUGCUGCAACCUGGGUAAGCCUUGAAAAUACUAUACGAAGAGAAAGCAGCUGGUCAUAAAAGAUCACAUGCUGCGUGACCCCAUUUCGGUGGAAUGUCCAGGAGAGGUAAAUCUACAUGGAUAGAAAGUAGAUUUGUGGUUUCCUAGGGCUAGCGGCUUGGGGAGAGAGGGGGAGUGACUGCGACUGGAUAGGAGGUUUCUCAUUGGGGUGACUGAAAAUGUUGUAAAAUUGAAUGCAGGGACAGCUGUACAACUCUGACGACUACUAAAAAGCACUGAUUUGUACAAUGAUGUGGGUUAACUGUAUGGUAUGUGAAUGUGAGCUCAAUAAAGCUGCUCAAAGAAUAUAUGUACGAUCACAGAGGCCUUUCUAGCCUUAGUGAAAUGGCUUAACUAGCUAGCUGGCAGGUGGAAGAGGGUUUUGAAGGCAAGUGACCCUACUCACCAGGUAGGGUUUUCCACAGUGAGCUUCCUCGAAACCUCGGCUUUCUCUCACGGCUGGAAGGGGGCCUUCAAAGCCGCUUCAUCCCACUCCCACCCUACACCCCGCAGAGAUCGCCGAAAUGGAAGACACAAAACACAGAAACCAAAACGAUCACUCCCAGGCUUGUUCCUUACAAUCGCGCUUCACACUUUUAUUGUUACUUUUCUUCACAUGGCAGAUACAGAACUGUCCUCUUCCGUGAUCCAAACCCACGCCCCAAAACCACCACUGACCAGCAAACACCACUCUUUAGAAGACCACCCCGUUGUCGCGAUCGGAACACUCGUGUAACCCUUUCCACUAGUCUGAGAGGGUGGAAAGCUGACCGGCACUUUUGCACAUGCAAAAACGAGUGGCCCCCAGCCCCCAGCGACAUUUCCUGGAAUUCACCAUCGGCUGAAGGUGAACUUUCGAAGCUUUGGGUUCGUGAGCCUUCCUUGCUGCUGAAAGGGGAAACCUUCCAGAACGGAGAAGAUGAGUGUC